rnacentral:rRNA from 1 species
GAUGAACGCUGGCGGCGUGCCUAAUACAUGCAAGUCGAGCGAACAGACGAGGAGCUUGCUCCUCUGACGUUAGCGGCGGACGGGUGAGUAACACGUGGAUAACCUACCUAUAAGACUGGGAUAACUUCGGGAAACCGGAGCUAAUACCGGAUAAUAUAUUGAACCGCAUGGUUCAAUAGUGAAAGACGGUUUUGCUGUCACUUAUAGAUGGAUCCGCGCCGCAUUAGCUAGUUGGUAAGGUAACGGCUUACCAAGGCAACGAUGCGUAGCCGACCUGAGAGGGUGAUCGGCCACACUGGAGCUGAGACACGGUCCAGGGUCCUACGGGAGGCAGCAGUAGGGUAUCUUCCGCAAUGGGCGAAAGCCUGACGGAGCGACGCCGCGUGAGUGAUGAAGGUCUUCGGAUCGUGAAACUCUGUUAUUAGGGAAGAACAAAUGUGUAAGUAACUAUGCACGUCUUGACGGUACCUAAUCAGAAAGCCACGGCUAACUACGUG